GUACUGGCAUUGUCGGUUUCUCCCUUCUGACGAACCAUGAUGUCAUUUAUUUGGUGUUGUGGGGAAUCAGGACUGUUACUUUGAAAAAAUUAGAGUGUUUAAAGCAGGCUCACGCUUGAAUACAUUAGCAUGGAAUAAUGAAAUAGGACGUUUGAUUCUAUUUUGUUGGUUUCUAGGAUCGACGUAAUGAUUAAUAGGGAUAGUUGGGGGCAUUAGUAUUCAAUUGUCAGAGGUGAAAUUCUUGGAUUUAUUGAAGACUAACUACUGCGAAAGCAUUUGCCAAGGAUGUUUUCAUUAAUCAAGAACGAAAGUUAGGGGAUCGAAGACGAUCAGAUACCGUCGUAGUCUUAACCAUAAACUAUGCCGACUAGGGAUCGGAUGAUGUUAAUUUUUUAAUGACUCAUUCGGCGCCUUACG
rnacentral:rRNA from 1 species